UACGUAGGGACCAAGCGUUUGUUCGGAUUUACUGGGCGUAAAGGGCGCGUAGGCGGUGUUGUAAGUCACUUGUGAAAUCUCUGAGCUAACUCAGAACGGCCAAGUGAUACUGCAGCACUAGAGUGCAGAAGGGGCAAUCGGAAUUCUUGGUGUAGCGGUGAAAUGCGGUAGAUAUCAAGAGGAACACCUGAGGUGAAGACGGGUUGCUGGGCUGACACUGACGCUGGAGGCGCGAAAGCUAGGGGAGCAAACGGG
rnacentral:rRNA from 1 species